CCUACGGGUGGCAGCAGUGAGGAAUAUUGGUCAAUGGACGAGAGUCUGAACCAGCCAAGUAGCGUGCAGGAUGACUGCCCUAUGGGUUGUAAACUUCUUUUAUAUGGGAAUAAAUUGUUCCACGUGUGGGAUUUUGUAUGUACCAUAUGAAUAAGGAUCGGCUAACGCCGUGCCAGCAGCCGCGGUAAUACGGAGGAUCCGAGCGUUAUCCGGAAUUAUUGGGUUUAAAGGGAGCGUAGGUGGCUUUGUAAGUGAGUUGUGAAAGUUUGCGGCUCAACCGGAAAAUUGCAGUUGAAACUGGCAGUCUUGAGUACAGUAGAGGUAGGCGGAAUUCGUGGUGUAGCGGUGAAAUGCUUAGAUAUCACGAAGAACUCCGAUUGCGAAGGCAGCUUACUGGA
rnacentral:rRNA from 1 species